rnacentral:lncRNA from 1 species
UUUCCUGUUCUAGAAGGUACUCUCAAGUGCUUGUAAUAGGCAUUUCAGUGUCAGCCAGAUCAAAUGUUAGUAUUAAUAAAAUGGAUUGUUUUAAGUUUCUAUUGUAGCAAAGUCAAACUACUCUUAUUGGUGGCUAAUUGGUCAUGGCCCCACUGAGGGAGAAAUUAAGUGACUAUCAAAUUGCCUUCUUACUAGUCUGCGUUAGAGAGGGGACAGUGCGUUUCUCUCCCAAACGAUUGCAGUUCUCUCCUUUUCAGGCCUAUAAUGCAAAGAGCAAAAGCUUUGAAGAUCCUCCCAACCAUGCCCGUAGCCCUGGAAACAAAGGGAAGGGCAAGGGAAAAGGUACGUCAUUGUAUGAGUUUCUUUUCAAGUUAUUCUUCUGUAACUUGGAGGCUGCCUGUGAAUCCCUCAGUGUAAAACCACCUCUGGUGUUACUGACUCUGGGACAGCGAGGCCGCCUGAGUUAACAAGGCGCUUGAGAGCAAGGUGGACUUGGACUCUGAGGAUCGGGUUUAGCCUCUGGCCUCUCUCCCCCAGGGAAGGGCAAGCCCAAGUCCCAAGCCUGUGAGCCGAGCGAGCCAGAGAUAGAGAUCAAGCUGCCCAAGCUGCGGACCCUGGAUGUGUUUUCUGGCUGCGGGGGGUUGUCGGAGGGAUUCCACCAAGCAGGCAUCUCUGACACGCUGUGGGCCAUCGAGAUGUGGGACCCUGCGGCCCAGGCGUUCCGGCUGAACAACCCCGGCU